GGCAAAAUGAAAGUGGGUUCCGCCCAGCCGGAGCCCCACCUCUUUCCCUGCGGACAGUUUUGCGGGCGAAGUACGCGUGCCUUUGCCCGUGUUUGUCGCGAGCCCCGGUGGAGAGCGACAUGGUCUCAGGAGCGCGGCUCCGGACGGAAGGCCGCUCGGCUGCGCGCGCCGGGGCGCCCCCUGCAGGCGAUGCCCGAGGCUGAGGCUGGAGGAGCCGCGUGCGGACCGCACAGCCACAGCCAGGCUUUACCGGGGCCAGCGAGCGGCCUUGGCAGGAGGGACCCAGGCAGGAAGCCCUGAGGGUAGUAGGGACGCCCUGUUGGAAAGCCUGACCAGCCUAAGCCGAGGGCAGGCCAUGCCAUCCGGGUUGGAGAGGAGUCAGGCAGGGUCCAGACUCUACAUGCUGGUCCCAGUGACAUAAAGUUAGUGCUUUAGCUUCAGCCUGACUUCCUCCUGAAGGACCCUGUGACCACUGCGAUAGGCUAGAAUUGUAUAUUGGUGGCCUGAUAUUGUGUAUCAGGAAACUAUUUACAAAUAGACCCUGCCCCUUUUGUGUUAAAAAAUCUUAGGCAAUUCCAGCAAGUCAGAAAUGAACAUUUGACUUUGGUAUUUGUUCUCUUCAAUAUUUUUUCUUUGUGUACAGGUUUUUAAAAAUACUAUAGUUGGGGCUGGAGAGAUGGCUCAGCAGUUAAGAGCACUGGCUGCUCUUCCAGAGGCCCCAGGUUCAGUUCCCAGCACCCACACGGCAGCUCACAGCUGUCUCUAACUCCAGUUCCAGGGGAUCUGGUUCUCUCCUACAUGCAGGCUAAACUCCAAUUCAUAUAAAAAUAAAUACAUCUUUUU
rnacentral:lncRNA from 1 species